AUUGAACGCUGGCGGCAUGCCUUACACAUGCAAGUCGAACGGUAACAGGUCUUCGGAUGCUGACGAGUGGCGAACGGGUGAGUAAUACAUCGGAACGUGCCUGAGAGUGGGGGAUAACGAAGCGAAAGCUUUGCUAAUACCGCAUACGAUCUCAGGAUGAAAGCAGGGGACCGCAAGGCCUUGCGCUCACGGAGCGGCCGAUGGCAGAUUAGGUAGUUGGUGGGAUAAAAGCUUACCAAGCCGACGAUCUGUAGCUGGUCUGAGAGGACGACCAGCCACACUGGGACUGAGACACGGCCCAGACUCCUACGGGAGGCAGCAGUGGGGAAUUUUGGACAAUGGGCGCAAGCCUGAUCCAGCCAUGCCGCGUGCAGGAUGAAGGCCUUCGGGUUGUAAACUGCUUUUGUACGGAACGAAAAGGCUCCUUCUAAUAAAGGGGGUCAAUGACGGUACCGUAAGAAUAAGCACCGGCUAACUACGUGCCAGCAGCCGCCGCAGUAA
rnacentral:rRNA from 1 species